UGUCCGUACAUUACAAAGGCACACUGGAAACUAAGCUGAGGAAAAUUACACCCAUUUUCUGACCUGCUUGCUAAUACGAUGUUUACAUCGCUGACGUAAUGAGCAAACCCAUUAUCAUGAGCUUCAGCUGUUUACAACAGGUCUGAACUUUAUCGUUUUCUUUUUUGUAGCUCUGGCUGUGCAGAUUAAUGUAAUGAUGUAAGGUGUGUCAGAUGGCUUCCUUCUGCAGGCAGAGAACACCUCUGCAGCCGCUGUUAGCGCAGGCCUCCGGAGGUGCCUCACUGAAGGGACGUUCUCAUUUUGUGGUGUGGAAGAGAAUCCACAUUAACAGGCAGUUACAAAUAACGGCUGUGACGGAGGAGCAAAACCUUUCCCAACAGCAGCAGUGCAUGUGGGUAGUGUGCACUCAGCAAGGAGAUGCAGCAUACCUGAAGUCUUGGAGCAGUGCUUUUAGGUAGGAAAAAAGGGCUACAAGGGUUCUUCUGCUAACAGAACAGGAAGUCCCUUAUCUUCUAAAGCUGCGUGACUCCAUGCUUAAUUGCAGGCUCCAGGCAGAUACGAAACAUGCCUUGCUCAAAUGAAUUACUUGAGCCUGUACAAGCAAUUUCAGGACCUACGGCAUAGAAGCCAGAUGAGACAAUCUAACCCUCAACUCUUUGAAUAAAAGACAAAUAAGUGAAAGAAGAAGAUGAGCAGAGGCCAAGACAGUGAUGAUUUAGUGAAGCACAACAUUAAAAGAACAGGAAAAAAAAAGAAAGUUUACCAAUAAGAAAUCACUUCUGGUUUGAUGGUGACCCUUCCCUAAGGGAUCAUCCUUCUUGGUGCCCUCACAUCACUCCCAAAGUCCAGUAUUUAACACAAAAUUAGGGCUCCUGCGGCUCCUCCUCUUCCUUCAGCCUGCAGAAAGGUUGAUCAUAAAGGC
rnacentral:lncRNA from 1 species